rnacentral:rRNA from 1 species
UACGGAGGAUGCAAGCGCUAUCCGGAAUGAUUGGGCGUAAAGCGUCCGCAGGUGGCUAUGUAAGUCUGCUGUUAAAGAGUGAGGCUCAACCUCAUAAAAGCAGUGGAAACUACAUGGCUAGAGUGCGUUCGGGGCAGAGGGAAUUCCUGGUGUAGCGGUGAAAUGCGUAGAUAUCAGGAAGAACACCGGUGGCGAAAGCGCUCUGCUAGGCCGCAACUGACACUGAGGGACGAAAGCUAGGGGAGCGAAUGGG